rnacentral:lncRNA from 1 species
AGGGCAUCUUGUUAAGAUGCUGCAGGUUUAGGGAGGGGCAGAGAGUGUGCCUUUCUAACAAGCUUCCAGGUGAUAUUGAGAUCUUGAUGCAGCUGGUUCUCAGACCGUGCUUUGAGAAGCGAGGCUACGCUUACCUGGCAGUUUGCUUUUCGGAGAUUUAUCCCGAGGGAACAUGGAUAAUAAAAGCUGUAUUGGGUCAAGAAGUUUUCAUCUAAGAAGGAGGAUUGUGCAAUAGAAAGAGGACUAACGAGGAGCAGGAAAACCAGGGCUGAAUUCCAAGUUAUGCAACAAGCUAACUGGGUGCAUUUGGAUAAGCUAUAGCCUCUCUGAGCUACAAGGAGGAGGUUAAGCUGUGUUGAACAUGUAUCCAGAGCACAAACAGAAACACCCAUUUGGAAAUGUCUGGAUUUGAUGAUGUCCAAGGUCUCUUCUUAACGCGGAUAUCCUGUGAUCUCAGUGACAAGCAUAAAGAGGGAAAGAGUUGGAGACUCAGUGAGAGACAGGGGGCACCCUCAAAUCAGGAUAAUUUGAGGAAGAUCCAUGAAGAGGCUAUUUUCAAAGGAUCGUGCAAAGAUGCAAGUUCUCAGGGGUGGGGCUCCCAGGGACUUUAUCACUCAGCAAGCAGCUUGGCUAAUAGAAUGCAGGAUCAGAUAUCGAGCAGCAACUAUUCAGCUAUAGAUACCAGCUUCCUGUGUUUGGAAAAGGUGAAAGAACAGAGAGGAGGGAAUGACUUACAACAAAACCAACAUGUGGCUGCUGCUGCUGCUGAUCAUCUCUAACUGACCACUUUACUGUCAGUGCCAAGCAUUGUGCCAAGCGCUGGAUCAAUAUUAUCUCACUUAAUUGUCAUCCCAGUUCUGUGAGGUUCCAAGGGAUUGAGUGACUCCAUCACUGGCCUCUCUCCUUCUAAGUUACAUCAUCUAUGGCUGCUUACCCUUCUCCUCUGAUUACCAGGGCUCAAGUUGUCUUCUCACAUUCACCACAUACCUGUACUGAGAAACUCCCUUCAUCCACACGUGACCCUGGAGAAGGAAGAAGGGAAGAUACUAACACAGAGAGAGGCAACGCGACCUACCCAAGACUUUUCAGCAAGUGAGGAUUAGAGCUGGGAUUAGAACUCUGGUCUCCUCACCAGUGACUCUACGCUCUUUCCAUUAAAUUAUGUUUGUUUUUGUUUGAGUCGUUUUGUUUUAAAAUAGGGCAUUUUAGCCAAGAAAAGUGUGCUGGAUAUCUUCCAUUUUCCUGUCUCAGAAGAUUCUCCACCCUUUCAGAGGCUGCAGGCAGCCUCUACAGUUGCCCUUGUCCUUUGGCUUCCUGUUGGGUUCAGCCAAUAGGGAGCCAUGGCUGGAGGCUAAGGGUGAAAAAAUAAUGACAUCAGACUAGCUGCAUCCCCACCACACCCUCUCAUCGCUGGGCCCAGGGGUUUAGUCGUGUGUCUCCACCCGAGGUCUGGGUUCCUGUUCAGUGUCUCUCUCCUACAGCUCUCUGUGAGCUCAGAUAUCCACUCUCUCCCCUUAUCCCCAUUAGAUCUAGGGAUGGUAAUGGUUCCCAGCUGUUGCCAGCUCUUGCACAUUUCUUCAUCCCUGUUGAUUUCCCUUAAUUAUUUACAAAAGGGUGGGAGGAGUUAUUUCAUUAAAUUUUCCUUAGUUGCCCCAUUUGAGUGCUGUGUUUCCUAUCAGAAACAGCAUUGAUACAGAAGGCUUGUGAAGGAGUGUCUCUGUUUAUUCCCUUUAGCCACAAGGCAUCUUUCCUCUGAACUCUUCUGCUGUUCUCAAAUUUGCUAAUGGGCAUAUUUCAGAU